GACGAACGCUUGCGACGUGCCUAAGAAAUGCAAGUCGAACGGGGGAGCAAUCCCUAGUGGCGAACGGUCGCGUAACACGUGGGCAACCUGCCCUGAAGCGGGGGACGAACAGCUCGAAAGGGCUGCUAAUACCGCAUGUGAAGGGGGAGUGGCAUCAUCCCUUGUUUCAAAGCUUUAUUGCGCUUCAGGAUGGGCCCGCGGCCUAUCAGCUAGUUGGUGGGGUAACGGCCUACCAAGGCUUCGACGGGUAGCUGGUCUGAGAGGACGAUCAGCCGGAUUGGGACUGAGAUACGGCCCAGACUCCUACGGGGGGCGAGCAAUUAGGAAUCUUGCACAAUGGGGGCGAACCCUGAUGCAGCGACGUCGCGUGGAGGAUGAAAUCUUUCGGGA
rnacentral:rRNA from 1 species